GACGAACGCUGGCGGCGUGCUUAACACAUGCAAGUCGAACGAAGUGGCGCACGGGUGAGUAACGCGUAAUCAACCUGCCCUUCAAAGGGGGACAACAGUUGGAAACGACUGCUAAUACCGCAUACUGAAGGAGGGGAUUGCGUCUGAUUAGCUAGGUGGAGGGGUAACGGCCCACCAAGGCGAUGAGCAGUAGCCGGGCUGAGAGGAUGAACGGCCACAUUGUGACUGGGACACGGCCCAGACUCCUACGGGAGGCAGCAGUGGGGAAGCUUCCGCAAUGGACGAAAGUCUGACGGAGCAACGCCGCGUGAGUGAUGAUGGCCUUCGGGUUGUAAAGCUCUGUUAAUCGGGACGCGGUACCGGAAUAGAAAGCCACGGCUAACUACGUGCCAGCAGCCGCGGUAAUAC
rnacentral:rRNA from 1 species